rnacentral:rRNA from 1 species
UUAGAGUUUGAUCCUGGCUCAGGGUGAACGCUAGCGACAGGCCUAACACAUGCAAGUCGAGGGGUAUUGGGUUUUCGGACCCGAGAGACCGGCGCACGGGUGCGUAACGCGUAUGUAACCUGCCUUACACCGGGGGAUAGCCUUCCGAAAGGGAGAUUAAUACCGCAUAAUAUUAUAUAGCCACCUGGUUGUAUAAUUAAAACUUCGGUGGUGUAAGAUGGACAUGCGUAUGAUUAGCUAGUUGGCGGGGUAACGGCCCCACCAAGGCGACGAUCAUUAGGGGUUCUGAGAGGAAGGUCCCCCACACUGGUACUGAGACACGGACCAGACUCCUACGGGAGGCAGCAGUGAGGAAUAUUGGUCAAUGGACGGAAGUCUGAACCAGCCAUGUCGCGUGCAGGAUGACUGCCCUAUGGGUUGUAAACUGCUUUUGUAUGGGAAGAAAGUGGGGUACGUGUACCCCUUUGCCGGUACCAUACGAAUAAGGAUCGGCUAACUCCGUGCCAGCAGCCGCGGUAAUACGGAGGAUCCGAGCGUUAUCCGGAUUUAUUGGGUUUAAAGGGUGCGUAGGCUGGGAAUUAAGUCAGUGGUGAAAGUUUGCGGCUCAACCGUAAAAUUGCCGUUGAUACUGGUUCUCUUGAGUACAUUUGAGGCAGGCGGAAUGUGGUGUGUAGCGGUGAAAUGCAUAGAUAUACCACAGAACACCGAUUGCGAAGGCAGCUUGCUAAGAUGUGACUGACGCUGAAGCACGAAAGCAUGGGGAUCAAACAGGAUUAGAUACCCUGGUAGUCCAUGCUGUAAACGAUGAUCACUAGCUGUUUGCGAUAUAUAGUAAGCGGCACAGGGAAACCACUAAGUGAUCCACCCGGGGAGUACGUUGGCGACAACGAAACUCAAAGGAAUUGACGGGGGCCCGCACAAGCGGAGGAACAUGUGGUUUAAUUCGAUGAUACGCGAGGAACCUCACCUGGGUUUAAAUGGGGAGUGACAGGCCUAGAGAUAGAUCUUUCUUCGGACACUCUUCAAGGUGCUGCAUGGUUGUCGUCAGCUCGUGCCGUGAGGUGUCGGGUUAAGUCCCAUAACGAGCGCAACCCACGUUGUCAGUUACCAGCACGUAGUGGUGGGGACUCUGACAAGACUGCCGGUGUAAACCGCGAGGAAGGUGUGGAUGACGUCAAAUCAGCACGGCCCCUACAUCCAGGGCUACACACGUGUUACAAUGGCCGGUACAGAGGGCAGCUACACUGCGAAGUGAUGCCAAUCCCAUAAAACCGGUCUCAGUUCGGAUCGGAGUCUGCAACUCGACUCCGUGAAGCUGGAUUCGCUAGUAAUCGCGCAUCAGCCACGGCGCGGUGAAUACGUUCCCGGGCCUCGCACACACCGCCCGUCA